rnacentral:rRNA from 1 species
GAUGAACGCUGGCGGCGUGCCUAAUACAUGCAAGUCGAGCGAACGGACGAGAAGCUUGCUUCUCUGAUGUUAGCGGCGGAAGGGUGAGUAACACGUGGAUAACCUACCUAUAAGACUGGGAUAACUACGGGAAACCGGAGCUAAUACCGGAUGAUAUUUUGAACCGCAUGGUUCAAAAGUGAAAGACGGUCUUGCUGUCACUUAUAGAUGGAUCCGCGCUGGAUUAGCUAGUUGGUAAGGUAACGGCUUACCAAGGCAACGAUGCAUAGCCGACCUGAGAGCGUGAUCGGCCACACUGGAACUGAGACACGGUCCAGACUCCUACGGGAGGCAGAAGUAGGGAAUCUUCCGAAAUGGGCGAAAGCCUGACGGAGCAACGCCGCGUGAGUGAUGAAGGUCUUCGGAUCGUAAAACUCUGUUAUUAGGGAAGAACAUAUGUGUAAGUAACUGUGCACAUCUUGACGGUACCUACUCAGAAAGCCACGGCUAACUACGUG